rnacentral:rRNA from 1 species
GACGAACGCUGGCGGCGUGCUUAACACAUGCAAGUCGAACGGAAAGGCCCUGCUUUUGUGGGGUGCUCGAGUGGCGAACGGGUGAGUAACACGUGAUUAACCUGCCCUUGACUUUGGGAUAACUUCAGUAAACUGGUGCUAAUACCGGAUAGUAGCUCCUGCUGCAUGGUGGUGGUUGGAAAGUUUCGGCGGUUGGGGAUGGACUCGCGGCUUAUCAGCUUGUUGGUGGGGUAGUGGCUUACCAAGGCUUUGACGGGUAGCCGGCCUGAGAGGGUGACCGGCAACAUUGGGACUGAGAUACGGCCCAGACUCCUACGGGAGGCAGCAGUGGGGAAUAUUGCACAAUGGGCGGAAGCCUGAUGCAGCAACGCCGCGUGCGGGAUGACGGACUUCGGGUUGUAAACCGCUUUCGCCUGUGACGAAGCGUGAGUGACGGUAAUGGGUAAAGAAGCACCGGCUAACUACGUG